rnacentral:rRNA from 1 species
GCGCGAAAACUUUACAAUGCUGGCAACAGCGAUAAGGGAACCUCGAGUGCCAGGUUACGAAUCUGGCUGUCGAGAUGCCUAAAAAGCAUUUCAUAGCAAGGGCCGGGCAAGACCGGUGCCAGCCGCCGCGGUAACACCGGCGGCUCGAGUGGUAACCGUUAUUAUUGGGUCUAAAGGGUCUGUAGCCGGCCGGAUAAGUCUCUUGAGAAAUCUGGCAGCUUAACUGUCAGGCUUUCAGGAGAUACUGUCUGGCUCGAGGCCGGGAGAGGUGAGAGGUACUUCAGGGGUAGGGGUGAAAUCUUGUAAUCCUUGAAGGACCACCAGUGGCGAAGGUGUCUCACCAGAACGGACCUGACGGCAAGGGACGAAAGCUAGGGGCACGAACGG